rnacentral:rRNA from 1 species
GGCGGUCUGUCGCGUCUGCUGUGAAAUUCCGAGGCUCAACCUCGGGCUUGCAGUGGGUACGGGCAGACUAGAGUGCGGUAGGGGAGAUUGGAAUUCCUGGUGUAGCGGUGGAAUGCGCAGAUAUCAGGAGGAACACCGAUGGCGAAGGCAGAUCUCUGGGCCGUAACUGACGCUGAGGAGCGAAAGGGUGGGGAGCAAACAGGCUUAGAUACCCUGGUAGUCCACCCCGUAAACGUUGGGAACUAGUUGUGGGGUCCUUUCCACGGAUUCCGUGACGCAGCUAACGCAUUAAGUUCCCCGCCUGGGGAGUACGGCCGCAAGGCUAAAACUCAAAGGAAUUGACGGGGACCCGCACAAGCGGCGGAGCAUGCGGAUUAAUUCGAUGCAACGCGAAGAACCUUACCAAGGCUUGACAUACACGAGAACGGGCCAGAAAUGGUCAACUCUUUGGACACUCGUGAACAGGUGGUGCAUGGUUGUCGUCAGCUCGUGUCGUGAGAUGUUGGGUUAAGUCCCGCAACGAGCGCAACCCUCGUUCUAUGUUGCCAGCACGUAAUGGUGGGAACUCAUGGGAUACUGCCGGGGUCAACUCGGAGGAAGGUGGGGAUGACGUCAAAUCAUCAUGCCCCUUAUGUCUUGGGCUUCACGCAUGCUACAAUGGCCGGUACAAUGGGCUGCGAUACCGUAAGGUGGAGCGAAUCCCAAAAAGCCGGUCCCAGUUCGGAUUGAGGUCUGCAACUCGACCUCAUGAAGUCGGAGUCGCUAGUAAUCG